rnacentral:rRNA from 1 species
UACGUAGGGUGCAAGCGUUAUCCGGAAUUAUUGGGCGUAAAGAGCUCGUAGGCGGUUUGUCGCGUCUGCUGUGAAAACCCGAGGCUCAACCUCGGGCCUGCAGUGGGUACGGGCAGACUAGAGUGCGGUAGGGGAGAUUGGAAUUCCUGGUGUAGCGGUGGAAUGCGCAGAUAUCAGGAAGAACACCAACGGCGAAGGCAGCUCGCUGGGACGGUACUGACGCUGAGACGCGAAAGCGUGGGGAGCGAACAGG